rnacentral:rRNA from 1 species
AUUGAACGCUGGCGGCAGGCCUAACACAUGCAAGUCGAACGGGAACAGGAAACAGCUCUCUGUUUCGCUCACGCGUGGCGGGCGGGUGAGUAACGUCUGGGACACUGCCUGAUGGAGGGGGAACACUACUGGAAACGGGAGUUAAUACCGCAUGACUACGAACGACCAAAGAGGUGGACCUUCGGGCCUCUUGCCAUCGGAUGUGCCCGGAUGGGAUUAGCUAGUAGGUGGGGUAACGGCUCAGCUAGGCGACGAUCCCUAGCUGGUCUGAGAGGAUGACCAGCCACACUGGAUCUGAGACACGGUCCAGACUCCUACGGGAGGCAGCAGUGGAGAAUAUUGCACAAUGGGCGCAAGCCUGAUGCAGCCAUGCCGAGUGUAUGAAGAAGGCCUUCGGGUUGUAAAGUACUUUCAGCGGGGAGGAAGGGAAUAAAGUUAAUACCUUUGAUCAUUGACGUUACCCUCAGAAGAAGCACCGGCUAACUCCGUGCCAGCCGCCGCAGUAA